rnacentral:rRNA from 1 species
GGACGGGUGAGUAACGCGUGGGUAACCUGCCCUGUACACACGGAUAACAUACCGAAAGGUAUACUAAUACGGGAUAACAUAUGAAAGUUCGCAUGGCUUUUGUAUCAAAGCUCCGGCGGUACAGGAUGGACCCGCGUCUGAUUAGCUAGGUUGGUAAGGUAAUGGCUUACCAAGGCAACGAUCAGUAGCCGACCUGAGAGGGUGAUCGGCCACACUGGAACUGAGACACGGUCCAGACUCCUACGGGAGGCAGCAGUGGGGAAUAUUGCACAAUGGGCGAAAGCCUGAUGCAAGCAACGCCGCGUGAGCGAUGAAGGCCUUCGGGUCGUAAAGCUCUGUCCUCAAGGAAGAUAAUGACGGUACUUGAGGAGGAAGCCCCGGCUAACUACGUGCCAGCAGCAGC